rnacentral:misc_RNA from 1 species
CCGGCACUCAUCGCCCAGGCAAUCGCCGGUGGCAUUCCAGCUCACCAUGACGUUCUUCACCUCGCUGGGCCUGACAACAAAUGCCCCGCCCUGGCCGUUGAUCUCGCCUCCCCCCGUGAUGCCGGCGCCCGUGGUGUUCUCGGCCAGAACGACGUACCACCGGCGCGACUCGGGCGGGUAGUCCGCCUGCCUGGUCCCGCCCAGAAGCCGCGCUCCGGGGGGCACCUCCAGCACCACCCGCGAGCGGAGUUGGACGGUCGCUGUCAGGUAGUUGCCCGGCGCCGGGAGAAGAACGCGGCCCCCGCCCGCCGCCGCGCAGGCG